GACGAACGCUGGCGGCGUGCUUAACACAUGCAAGUCGAACGGAAAGGCCCUGCUUGCCGGGUGCUCGAGUGGCGAACGGGUGAGUAACACGUGGGUGAUCUGCCCCUUACUUUGGGAUAAGCCUGGGAAACUGGGUCUAAUACUGGAUAGGACCAUGCUGUAGGUGGUGUGGUGGAAAGAUUAGUUUCGGUAAGGGAUGAGCUCGCGGCCUAUCAGCUUGUUGGUGGGGUAAUGGUCUACCAAGGCGUCGACGGGUAGCCGGCCUGAGAGGGUGGACGGCCGCAUAGGGACUGAGAUACAGCCCAGACUCCUACGGGGGGCAGCAGUGGGGAAUAAUGGACAAUGGGCGCAAGCCUGAUGCAGCGACGCCGCGUGAGGGAUGACGGCCUUCGGGUUGUAAACGCCUUUCAGCCAUGACGAAGCCCUUGUGGUGACGGUAGUGGUAGAAGAAGCACCGGCUAACUACGUG
rnacentral:rRNA from 1 species